ACUGCUUCUCGGCCCUUUGGCUAAGAUCAAGUGUAGUGUCUGUUCUUACCAGUUUAAUAAUGGAUCAUGGCGGUGUUUCCUACUGAGUGCAAAGAGAGUCUUGGGAACUUUCUUAACACAGCAGUCACUUUCAAUUGCCAACCUUGUUUUAAAAAAGAAGCACCAGCACUCCCUGAAAUCAUUCUCUGUUUUUCUUACUCUAU
ensembl:snRNA U2 U2 spliceosomal RNA